ACAGGUUGACUGACUAAUGUCAAGAAGGAAAACGAGAAAAACUGAAAGAAGAACAAGAGACCAAGAUGUAUGCUGAAAUUACCCAUCUCUGCACGGUACGCGUGAGCUGGUUUGUCAUAAACAUCUGUUAAAUCCUCCUCGUUUGAGCAUCGCUAAUGAGGCGAAGGGUGUGACAGAACAGAUGCCUCAGAGUGCGAAAACAAGAUACAGAGGCGAGACUGUGGAAAAAAGAGAGAGAAUUGAACGAUGUGGAUGAAAAAAAAAUGCAUUAAAUUGAUCAAAGGGACAGCAAAGACAUUUACAGAAGAUUUCUAUUCCAAAUAAAUGCAUUUCUUCUAUUCA
ensembl:lncRNA